rnacentral:rRNA from 1 species
AGGAAAUUUGAGAGGAGCUGUCCUUAGUACGAGAGGACCGGGAUGGACGUACCGCUGGUGCACCAGUUGUUCCGCCAGGAGCAUGGCUGGGUAGCUACGUACGGACGGGAUAAGCGCUGAAAGCAUCUAAGCGUGAAGCCCCCCUCAAGAUGAGAUUUCCCAAGUUAGUAAGACCCCUUGAAGACGACGAGGUAGAUAGGUUGGAGGUGGAAGUGCUGCAAAGCAUGGAGCUGACCAAUACUAAUCGGUCGAGGGCUUAUCCA